AUGAAAACAGUCUGCACUCUUUUCUCCAAGAACCUUCUUGUACUUUAUGGUGUUUAUGUUAACUUCAAGAGGAUUUUCUGUUUUUUUCAUCAGGAGACUGUCAAUGAAAUUCACUCAGAACUUCAUCCUACUGGUGGAGCUGCUAAAUUGAAUAGCAGUACUGCAAACUCAUUGAGAGGAUGCUGAGGCAGUGGGAGCAUUCUUUGUCAGGUAGCAGAGCUGUCUGGCCAUGGAGGAGGAGAUCUUGUGGGUGUUGGUGAAUUGGAUGGUAGCAGGCAUCUUUCCUAAAAGAAAGAUGAUUGAAUACAGGAGCUAUAGUAGCAGGUUAUGAGUAGACCCAAAUGGACAAGAUUGUACACAAUACCCUCACCUGCUCUCCCUGACUGCCCAGGCUAAGGAAUAUGGGAGUCCUGCUAUGAGAAGCAUAGAACUGUCCAUUAUUUUGUCCUCCACAAAGUUAUUGAUCCUGAGCUCA